rnacentral:lncRNA from 1 species
UAUUCUAUUGAUCAAUCUUAUCUAGUACAAUAGCAUUAAAGAAGAAAAUAAAUUAAAAUCUGGUCCAUUGUAUUGUCCAAACAGGUCAUAAAGGUUUAUAUUUCCCAACAAAAUACUGGGCUUCUUUCUGUUCUUCACACGAGGAUGCCGAUGCAGUACAAUAGCAUUUUCAACUCAUUCACUUCGAAGUUCACAUGAUCAUUUUAAUAAAUUCCCACAAGUAUUGCAAAAUAUAUAAAAAUGUGAAAAAUAUUAGAAAAUUUUUAGAGCUGGAGUUGCAGACUUGCAGCCAAAAUGAAAUCCAAGAUUUUUGGAAAAUUAGAUCAAUAUCACGUGCACGAAUCACCGAACAUCAAAUAACUAAAAGUCUAAAAGAAUCUUGCAUUUUUUGAAGUGGAGUGCGACUGUGUGCACGCCUGCUGGACUGGACUCGAUGGCGGACCUGGCGCCGAUGCUGUCUGCAACGCUUGCUGGCUGCUGCGGCCUGCGGUAGUCGUGGACUGGUGGAUCGGUGGUUGACGGCUAAGACGGGGAGACUGGAGAGCCCUAGAUUGGUAAUGGUGGGUCGUGACAAUGUGGGGAAAAAUCUGGGACUCUGGUCACUCUGCGUCUCUGCAUCGGGUUGCUGCUUGCUCGAUAUAUGGUAUGGAGUGGAGCAGGUCAUUUGGGCUUCUUCAAUUGGGCCGGAUUUUAAAAAAAAAUUCGAAGCCCAACAGCCAACACCCAAGCCAACAGUCACGACACUGAAGGAAAAAAAAAAAAAAAAAAAAAAAAAAACUAACUCCGGUGGCCGGCGUGGCGAUUCCGGUGAAGCCAGCUAGGGCGGCCGCCCUAGCUGCCCAUAAGCUACAUCCGCCACUGCUACCUACGAAGGUCCUUGAAAUCUUUAUGACAAUAAGACUAGACAAAAAUGAAAGAAAGAUUCCCCCUCUUUAUAGAGUUUCCUUGCUUUCCCUUGUUCAUCAAAUGCCUAUCUUGCGCUUGCUCAUGCUGAUAUUUUAAAUGGAAAUUUGUAUUUUC